GACAGAGGAUGCAAGCGUUAUCCGGAAUGAUUGGGCGUAAAGCGUCUGUAGGUGGCUUUUUAAGUCUGCCGUCAAAUCCCAGGGCUUAACCCUGGACAGGCGGUGGAAACUACCAAGCUGGAGUACGGUAGGGGCAGAGGGAAUUUCCGGUGGAGCGGUGAAAUGCGUAGAUAUUGGGAAGAACACCGGUGGCGAAAGCGCCUUGCUGGGUCUGCACUGACACUGAGGGACGAAAGCUAGGGGAGCGAAAGGG
rnacentral:rRNA from 1 species